rnacentral:lncRNA from 1 species
AGGAACCGGAAUAUGGAUCCGGGUAUGGUAGGAAAGAAGAGGGUGAAUACGGGUCAGGAUAUGGGUCCGGGUAUGGUGGGAGAAAGGAGGAGUCUGAAUAUGGAUCUGGGUAUGGUGGAAGAAAGGAAGAACCUGAAUAUGGAUCUGGGUAUGGUGGGAGAAAGGAGGAAUCUGAAUAUGGAUCCGGGUAUGGUGGGAGAAAGCAAGAAUCUGAAUAUGGAUCCGGGUAUGGUGGCAGGAAGGAGGAACCAGAAUAUGGAUCCGGAUAUGGUGGAAGGAAGGAGGAAUCUGAAUAUGGAUCAGGAUAUGGAGGAAGGAAGCAAGAAUCAGAAUAUGGAUCCGGGUAUGGUGGAAGAAAGGAGGAGAGUGAAUAUGGAUCCGGGUAUGGAGGGAGGAGUGAGUAU